GUGAGUCAUCGAAUCUUUGAACGCACAUUGCGCCCCCUGGUAUUCCGGGGGGCAUGCCUGUUCGAGCGUCAUUACAACCCUCAAGCUCUGCUUGGUGUUGGGCCCCGCCGCCCCGGCGGGCCCUAAAAUCAGUGGCGGUGCCGUCCGGCUCCGAGCGUAGUAAUUCUUCUCGCUCUGGAGGUCCGGGUGUGUGCUCGCCAGCAACCCCCAAUUUUUUUCAGGUUGACCUCGGAUCAGGUAGGGAUACCCGCUGAACUUAAGCAUAUCAAUAAGCGGAGGA
rnacentral:misc_RNA from 1 species